rnacentral:rRNA from 1 species
GUCUACGGCCAUGCCUCCCUGAACGAGCCUGAUGUCUGAUCUCAGAAGCUCUAAGCAGGGUUGGGUCUGGUUAGUACUUGGAUGGGAGACCACCUAGGAAGACCAGGUGCUAUAGGCC